rnacentral:misc_RNA from 1 species
AAGGAUCAUUGUUGAAACCUGCCUAGCAGAACGACCCGAGAACUAGUUUCAAAGCGGGGGACGAGGGGUCGUCUCGGCGUGCUCCUCGUCCCUUUAUCUCGGGGGGGUUCAUACCCUUCCGGGCGUACAAACGAACACCGGCGCGAAUUGCACCAAGGAACUUGAACGAGAGAGCGCGUCCCCGUCGCCCCGGAAACGGUGUGCGCGGGCGGCGUCGUCAUCUUCAAAUAUGUCAAAACGACUCUCGGCAACGGAUAUCUCGGCUCUC